rnacentral:other from 1 species
AAACCCCUGCGAUGCUCGUGAUUAGUAGAGCGCUUCUGAGCCAACACAAAAUGACCGGGAGGCUCCUCUUGCUCUGGUGUGCGAGCUCAGCUUGUACUGAGAGGCCUAAAGGAGCAACGAGCCACCCACUUAGCUGUAUCGGUUCAAAACCGACUGCUAACACGGCAUCUUGCGGGGGUGAC